rnacentral:rRNA from 1 species
CAAUAGCGUAUAUUUAAGUUGUUGCAGUUAAAAAGCUCGUAGUUGGAUUUCGGAUGGGAUUUGCCGGUCCGUCGUUACGAUGUGCACUGGCCAGUCCUAUCUUGUUGUCGGGGUCUAGCUCCUUGGAUUCACUUCCUGGGACUAGGAGCUGACGAGGUUACUUUGAGUAAAUUAGAGUGUUCAAAGCAAGCCUACGCUCUGAAUACAUUAGCAUGGAAUAACACGAUAGGACUCUGGCUUAUCUUGUUGGUCUGUGAGACCAGAGUAAUGAUUAAGAGGGACAGUCGGGGACAUUCGUAUUUCAUUGUCAGAGGUGAAAUUCUUGGAUUUAUGAAAGACGAACUUCUGCGAAAGCAUUUGUCAAGGAUGUUUUCAUUA